AAAAAAAAAAAAAAAAACCAUCAGGUCGCCAUGGUUGGAUCAUACUAUCAAGACCAUAAAACAAAUUAGCAUGGUAAGAAAUCGGCAAAACUACAGAAAAAAUCCAUCUGAGUUUGAUUGGUAAAAUCAGAAUAAAAAACUUCGAUUAUCAACGUGAAAAGAACAAAUAAGUGGGAAAUUAAAGAAAAAUCAGUUUGGGCUUGAUUGAUUCACAAUCAGAGUUUUGAACUUCCAAAUGUGACCACAAAACUGUUGAAUAAACAAGUUUAUUAAUCAGAUUACUCACAUAAAAAGCAACCACAACUCCA
rnacentral:misc_RNA from 1 species